UUCUAAAUAAAAAUUCCUAUACUUGUUAAAGGAGGAUAUAUACAUAGAGAAUUCGGUUAGCAUACAAGGAGAAAGUCACAAAGUUUAAAGAAAAAGAGUUGAACUUUCGGAGAGGAAAUUCACACAAUCAUCCAUCCUCUUUUAAUUUUAGAAGUGGAAAUAGCAUAUUUUAAAAUGGGAUCAAGAAUUCGAUCAGAUGACACGUCCAGCAAUACUUACUCUUGGUGGGAAACAGUCCCACAAGCUAUGAUACAACCUCUGGUAUUCUGGUAUUCAGUUCAGACAGUUUUUCUAGAGAACUCAAUGCUAAAUAUAUGGAAAGAAGUGUAUUGUGAUAAGAAGCAGAGAAGGUUUUAUGUUUGUUGAUUAUGAGCUGACAUUAUUUCAAUAUACACGGUUUUCUAAAGAAAGUAUUGUGAGUUAAUUCGAUUGAACUGCCAGUGGAUAUUGAUUCUUUCAUACACAAGUUUUGAUAUUAUUAUGGGUAUAGAUUGGUUUUCACUUCAUCGAACCAAGGUAGCUUGUCAAGUAAACGAAAUGGCAAUAUAAUCAUCGUGACGGGAUCGAGUGAUAUUUUACGGUAAUCAAUAUAUUGUUCCAGGUUUUCUUAUAUUAUCUAGAUCGGCUUUUUGAUUUAUUGGAAGUGCAGAUUUAUCUGGAUUUUCACCUUAUCAGGAGAUAUAUUUCUCUAUUGAGCACUGCAUUUAUUUUUAUUUCUACUUAUCAACCGUCUUCAUUAGAGUUUCAAGAAUUUAAGAAUCAGGUAAAAGAGUUGUCUGCUAGAGGAUUUAUAUGACCCAGUGUUUCAUCUUGGAGUGCACCAAUAUCAUAUUAGAAGAAGAAAGACACAUUCCGACUUCAUAUACACUAUUGAAUGCCGAAUCAAGUGACAGUGAAGAAUAAAUAUUCAUUACCGAGGAUCGAAGACUUGUUUGAUCAGUUCCAAGGUACACAAAUGUUUUCGAAUAUAAAUCUUUGAUCAAGAUACCAUCAGUUAAAGAUAUAGCUAAAGAAAAUAUUGCAGAGACAACAUUUCGAACUCAAUACAGUCAUUAUGAGUUUUGCUUAUGCCUUUUGAAUUAUGAGUUUUUCUUAUGCCUUUCGAAUCAACAAAUGCACCUACAAUUUUUAUGCCACUGAUGAACAGAGUCUCUCAACCAUUACUGGAACGGUUAGUAGUUCGUUUUAUUGGCGACUUGCUUGUAUAUUCAUGAAUUACAGAUGAUGAUGUUAAUCACUUACGGUCAGUAUUUCAAGUUCAGCGAGAUGAACAACUCUAUGCUAAGUUGAGUAAAGGAGGGUUUUUGCUAGAGCAUGUGGCAUUGUUAGGACACGUGGUAUCAGGUCGUGUAAUAGAAGUGGAUCGACAAAAGAUUGAACUGGUUUUCAACUGGAAAUAUUUCUUUAUUAUUAUUCAAUUGAUAAUGAAGUUAGUACGACAGAAUUCUUCUUUUAUAUGGAAUGAAGCAUAUCAAAAGAGUUUUAAUGAGUGGAAGCAUCAGUUGAAUAUGUCACCUAUUUGGUUAUCUCCGCAGGUACAAGAUAAUAUGUUAUUUAUAGUGAUGGGCUGAAACAUGGAUUUGGUUAUCUUUUGAGUUAAUGGAAAGUUUAUUGCUUA